rnacentral:misc_RNA from 1 species
AAGUCGUAACAAGGUUUCCGUAGGUGAACCUGCGGAAGGAUCAUUAAAAAAGAUCGACUCCAAAAAAAUAUGGACGAUCAAAUCCAUAUCCACCUUGUGUGCACUUAUUGACCGUUCGCUUUGGCAGGAGUUGUCUUCGAUCCGGCCUCCCGUGUGGGGGAGGGAUCGAAGCGGCGAGGGGAGGAAAUCAAUUUCCACCUCGGCCUGCCAGAGUUUUUACCUUCAAAAAAACACUUUUUUUAAACCCUUUGGACUGAACCCUCGUCUCGAUUCUUUGGAAUCGGUCGAAUCUAAUACAACUUUCAACAACGGAUCUCUUGGCUCUC